rnacentral:rRNA from 1 species
UACGAAGGUGGCGAGCGUUGUUCGGAAUCACUGGGCUUAAAGCGCACGUAGGCGGCCCAUUAAGUACCUUGUGAAAUCCCACGGCUCAACCGUGGAAUUGCUUGGUAUACUGUUCGGGCUUGAGGCAGGUAGGGGCGCGUGGAACUCUUGGUGGAGCGGUGGAAUGCGUAGAUAUCAAGAGGAACGCCGGUGGCGAAAGCGACGCGCUGGGCCUGUCCUGACGCUGAGGUGCGAAAGCCAGGGGA